CCUACGGGGAGCAGCAGUGGGGAAUAUUGGACAAUGGGCGAAAGCCUGAUCCAGCCAUGCCGCGUGUGUGAAGAAGGCCUUCGGGUUGUAAAGCACUUUCAGUGGGGAAGAAAGCCUAGGGGCUAAUACCCUCGAGGAAGGACAUCACCCACAGAAGAAGCACCGGCUAACUCCGUGCCAGCAGCCGCGGUAAUACGGAGGGUGCGAGCGUUAAUCGGAAUUACUGGGCGUAAAGCGCGCGUAGGCGGUCUGAUAAGCCGGUUGUGAAAGCCCCGGGCUCAACCUGGGAACGGCAUCCGGAACUGUCAGGCUAGAGUGCAGGAGAGGAAGGUAGAAUUCCCGGUGUAGCGGUGAAAUGCGUAGAGAUCGGGAGGAAUACCAGUGGCGAAGGCGGCCUUCUGGACUGACACUGACGCUGAGGUGCGAAAGCGUGGGUAGCAAACAGGAUUAGAUACCCCGGUAGUC
rnacentral:rRNA from 1 species